AGUGAACGCUGGCGGUAGGCCUAACACAUGCAAGUCGAACGGCAGCACAGUAAGAGCUUGCUCUUACGGGUGGCGAGUGGCGGACGGGUGAGGAAUACAUCGGAAUCUACUUUUUCGUGGGGGAUCACGUAGGGAAACUUACGCUAAUACCGCAUACGACCUACGGGUGAAAGCAGGGGAUCUUCGGACCUUGCGCGAUUGAAUGAGCCGAUGUCGGAUUUGCUAGUUGGCGGGGUAAAGGCCCACCAAGGCGACGAUCCGUUGCUGGUCUGAGAGGAUGAUCAGCCACAUUGGAAGUGGGACACGGUCAAGACGACUAAGGGAGGGAGCAGUGGGGAAUAUUGGACAACAGGCGGGAGCCUGAUACAGCCAGACCGAGUGGGUGACGAAGGCCUUGGGGUUGUAAAGCCCUUUUUUUGGGAAAGAAAAGCAGUAGGUUAAGACGCCGCGGUUCUGACGGUACCCAAAGAAGAAGCACCGGCUAACUUCGUG
rnacentral:rRNA from 1 species